CUGACUCCCAUUAUCCCAUAUUCACUCCCACUGACUCCCAUAUUCACUCCCACUGACUCCCAUUAUCCUACAUUCACUCCCACUGACUCCCAUUAUCCCACAUUCACUCCCACUGACUCCCAUUAUCCCACAUUCACUCCCACCGACUCCCAUUAUCCCACAUUCACUCCCACCGACUCCCAUUAUCCCACAUUCACUCCCACCGACUCCCAUUAUCCCACAUUCACUCCCACCGACUCCCAUUAUCCCACAUUCACCCCCGCUGACUCCCAUUAUCCUACAUUCACUCCCACUGACUCACAUUAUCCUACAUUCACUCCCACUGACUCCCAUUAUCCUACAUUCACUCCCAC